rnacentral:rRNA from 1 species
ACGGGUGAGUAACGCGUGGUCAACCUACCGUUGAGUGGGGGAUAACUAGCCGAAAGGUUAGCUAAUACCGCAUACGUCUCCGAGGGGCAUCCCUUGGCGAUAAAAGGAGCAAUCCGCUCGAUGACGGGACCGCGUCCCAUUAGCUAGAUGGUGGGGUAACGGCCCACCAUGGCACCGAUGGGUAGCUGGUUUGAGAGAGCGACCAGCCACACUGGGACUGAGACACGGCCCAG